AGCUUCAAUCGCGUAUAUCAAAGUUGUUGCAGUUAAAAGUCUUGUAACUGGAUUUCUGAGUGGGUAUGUAGGUUUGCCCUUAUGAGUGUACACCAUAUAUGUAUGGCCAUCCUUUGGGAGAGCCACCAUGGCAUUAAGUUGUUGGUGUGGGGAUCCCAAUUCUUUACAGUGAAAGUAGAGUGUUCAAAAUAAGCUUGCGUUGUUGAAUAUAUUAGUAUGAAAUAAUAACAUAGAACUAUUCUCUUUUUUUGUUAGUUUGUGCACAAUAGUAAUGAUUAACAGGGACAGCUGGGGGUAUUUAUAUCCUAUUGUCAGAGGUGAGAUUCUUAGAUUGUUUGGAAGACAAACUACUACAAAAGUAUUUAUCAAAGCUUUUUUUCA
rnacentral:rRNA from 1 species